AUUUUAUUUUAUUGCAAUUAACAUUUUAAUUUUACUCAGCUAGAUAAGACAACAGAGGAUGAAGUUGAUUUUGAAACCCUUUGUAAACUAGCUAAUGCUGGUAGCUAUGACUGUAAUUAUGGUUUCUAUUGUUCUGUAGGUGAACUUGGGAAGGGGAGUAGGGCUUCUGGAGAAACAAACCUUCUCUUUAAAUGGAGUUCACUGGCUUGUCUCAGCUUCAUGCCAGACUAAAGAACAUGGUUGGCUCCUGGAUCAGUGGAGACUACCCUGGGAUCAACCCUAAAGUGAUUCCUGCAGAGCCUGAGACUGGAAGCUGUCACACCAUGGAUGACAGCCAGGCUGCUGGAUUCAUUUCAAAGUGACUCAGUGGGGCAGAGAACCAUUAAUAUACUUAUCAUCACAGGUAUUAGUUAUAUGUCACUAUUGAGAACUGUUGCAGAGUAUUAUUUUUCAUUCUUUUAUUUGUUUAACCAUACACUGUCUAGCUUUAAAAAUUUUAUUUGUGUUCAUGUGUUUGUUUUGUUCACAGGUAGACUAUUUUGUUUCUGAGAUUACUCCAAAUUUUACACAGAUGAUAAGUAGGUAGUGAAAAAAAUCCAAUUAGAAAAUGGGUGAAAGACCUGCCGAGACUUUUCACCAAAGAGGAUAUACAGAUGGUGAAUAAGGAGGGAAGAUUCGCCCUGAGCUAACAUCUGUGCCAAUCUUCCUCUAUUUUGUACGCGAGUUGCCGCAUAGCAUGGCUGCCGAUGAGUGGUGCAGAUCCAAUAUAGUCUGACCGAAGGAGGGUGUCUAUUCAAUUUCCCUUUUUCAGAGAAAAGGUUAUUAUCUAUAACUCUAUACGUUUUAACAUACUGGGGACACUAUAGUUUAGUG
rnacentral:lncRNA from 1 species